GAUGAAGAACGCAGCGAAAUGCGAUAAGUAAUGUGAAUUGCAGAAUUCAGUGAAUCAUCGAAUCUUUGAACGCACCUUGCGCCCUGUGGCCAUUCCGAAGGGCAUGCCUGUUUGAGUAUCAUGAACACCUCAACUCUUCAUGGUUUUCCAUGAUGAGCUUGGACUUUGGGGGUCUUGCUGGCCUGUGGGUCGGCUCCUCUCAAAUGAAUCAGCUUGCCGGUUUUUGGUGGGCAUCACAGGUGUGAUAACUAUCUACGCUUGUGGUUUUCCACCAGGGUAACCUUCAGCAGUGGAGGUUCACUGGAGCUUACAAAUGUCUCUCCUCUGUGAGGACAGCCCUUUGAAUGUUUGAUCUCAAAUCAGGUAGGACUACCCGCUGAACUUAAGCAUAUCAAUAACGGAGGA
rnacentral:misc_RNA from 1 species